rnacentral:rRNA from 1 species
UACGGUGACUAUGGCGGUGGGGAUCACCUCUUACCAUUCCGAACAGAGCAGUUAAGCCCACUUGCGCCGAUGGUACUUCUUUCGAGGGAGAGUAGGUAGUCGCCGACC